GGAGAGUUUGAUCCUGGCUCAGGACGAACGCUGGCGGCGUGCCUAAUACAUGCAAGUCGAGCGGACAGAUGGGAGCUUGCUCCCUGAUGUCAGCGGCGGACGGGUGAGUAACACGUGGGUAACCUGCCUGUAAGACUGGGAUAACUCCGGGAAACCGGGGCUAAUACCGGAUGCUUGAUUGAACCGCAUGGUUCAAUUAUAAAAGGUGGCUUUUAGCUACCACUUACAGAUGGACCCGCGGCGCAUUAGCUAGUUGGUGAGGUAACGGCUCACCAAGGCGACGAUGCGUAACCGAACUGAGAGGGU
rnacentral:rRNA from 1 species